UGAAUUUAUUUAUUUCAUUUCGUAUUUUAAUCGAAAUUUAUUUUUUUCAGGUUUCGCGUUAGAUCCCUUGUCGCUUAACUUGAUUUGUUCCUAUGGGGACCACAUUCUUCAGAAAAUCGAACAAUUCUAUCCAUCAGCGAAAGAAAAGAAAAGAAGAGUUCGAGGACGUUGUAGAGUUUGCUAUGAUUUCUUGAAGGGAAUAACGACUUCUGAUCAAGCAAAUAAUAAAGCUCCGAGAGUUUCUACAAUCUGCGCUACAUGUCCUGAUAGGCCAUAUCUUUGUGCCAAAUGUUUUGAACCUUAUCACCAAAAAUUAUUUUAUUCCUAAAUUGUGAACGCAUUUUGUAUCAAAUACUUUUUUCAGAAAAUAUUUUUUUGACAAAGAAACAGAGUAAUCCUAUAAACAUGAUUUUUUAUAG